rnacentral:rRNA from 1 species
UACGGAGGGAGCUAGCGUUGUUCGGAAUUACUGGGCGUAAAGCGCACGUAGGCGGCUAUUCAAGUCGGGGGUGAAAGCCCGGGGCUCAACCCCGGAACUGCCCUCGAAACUAGAUAGCUAGAAUCUUGGAGAGGCGAGUGGAAUUCCGAGUGUAGAGGUGAAAUUCGUAGAUAUUCGGAGGAACACCAGUGGCGAAGGCGGCUCACUGGUCCAUUACUGACGCUGAGGUGCGAAAGCGUGGGGAGCAAACAGG